UGGUUAUGGAAGCCCAUCGAGAGAAGAUACAAGUGUUUGUCCACAUACAAAAUCGUAUUGCCAAAGCGGUAAGUAGUUUGAAACAUAUAUAUAUAUGAGACAUUCUAAUAUUUUUGGAAGAUAAAUUAGCAAUAUUGUUAAAAUAAAUGUUAUGUGAUUAAGAGUGAGCAUGAGUCCGAGUCUGAACUGGACCCGUCUUGUUUUGAGGGCGUUCGGGGCGACUUUUUUGUCCUGUUAUCGUUCCGGACAUAAAAUGGGGUGAGUACGGAUCACGCAAAAUGAAAAUUUUCCAAAUUGUCCCCGUCUUUCAAGUCCGUCCGGUGUCGAGACGGUCCAACUUUUAUCCUUCAAUGACUCGUCUCCUCGCCAAAUCAGAUUAUAUCAUUUAAAUUUUUGCAGGUUAUUGAAGACAAAAGCACUAAAAUAAAAUGAAAGUGACGCGGUUCAAAUUUCAACGUUUGAUUUUUAUUAUCUAAGGGGUCAUUUGUGUUAUUGGGCUUUACCUUUAUGAUAAAUCUAAAUACCAUUGUUUUAACUUUUUUUUUUUUUUUUUUACUAUUGAAAAGGC
rnacentral:lncRNA from 1 species